GGUGUGUGCAUGCAUAUUUGUGUGUGUUUGUAUGCUAAGAGAGACACUCACAGGAAAGUAGAGAUGGAGUAUGGGCGGAACUGAAGGAAGUGGAACAUGCAAAGGUCAGAGGAUUCAGCCACUAUCACCAAAUAAGGAGAAACGUGCAGAGGGGCUGUGGGCUCUGCUCUGCUCUUUCACAGGCAGAUCUUAGCAUGCCUCUUCUUUUCUUUCUCCUCUUUGCCCCAAGACAUCUUUCAUGUUGCCCCAUCUGUCCAAGAAGCGUUCACUUCGGUUUCAUGAGUGUUAAGCCCUGCCUCCCACAACUGGCCAGCUGUCUGCCUCAGGACUGCAUCAUGGUUAAAGGAUUUCCACACCUGCCUUCUGUCCCUGAAUGUUCCUGAGACUCCUGAGGACAUUCCAGAUGGAAGGAGGCCCUUCGUCCUGCAAAAGUUGCCAGAGAACUGGAAUCAGGACACCGGUGAUGGCACCGCCCCAGGACAGCUCGGCUACAGUCUGCAUCACAGUGUCUGCCAGGGACCAUGCACUAAAGGCUCAGUGCCCAGUUUGGUAUAGUUGAAAGGCUGGUUGACUAUUUAAAAGACGGAGCCUCAUGGGAGGCUUUCUACCAGGGGGAUGUUGUCUUUGAAAGUGACCGUGGGGGCACUGGUCUCUUUCCCUCCUUUAUUUAUGUUCCAGGCCAGGAGGCAAAGGACACAUGUCCUGUCAUGAAGGGCCUCCAUGCCAUACGCCCCAACGUAAGGAGACAAGCUUCCAAAUCUGAGCUCAAAUCAGUCUUUCUCAACUUUAAGCUGACCAUCUCAAGUGUUUUAUGACAGUGGCAGCUGACCCAGGCUCACUCUCUGCUGAGGUACCAGGGUCAGUGAUAUCAGCCCCAAGCUCUGUUAUACGCCUGAGGCAUCUGAGUAGCCGAUGUCCUAUCCCAACAGACUCUGUCUUUGGAGAGCUAUCUUGUCACUUUGCAUGUCUACCAGGCCAUCUCUAGAGGUUGUCUAAGUCAGGCCCAAAUAGUUUCUCGGUUGUCACUUGCUGUCUGGAUAUUGCCACUUUGGGGGUGACUCUGGUCCACAUCUGCAGAGCAAGGUGUGAGCUUACCUAGAGAGGCAGAGCGAAGGAAACUCCUCUUUGGAGAUGGCUGGAUCUCUCUCUUGUCCUCCUCUGGACAGGUCAGUUGUCGGUUUUCAUCGUCCUGGUAGGAGAGUCUGGAACGGAGAUGCAUUAAUGUUUGUUCCUGAAGGCCGGCCCAGAGGUGCCACCUGUCAGGACAGCUGCUAUCCCCAGAAAGCAGUUUCUACUUUCCUUAGUGAAGUACUGAUGAUGGAACGCAGGACCACAAGCAUGCCAAGCAAACACUACCACUGAGCUAUGCUCGCAGAACUCUCUGCAUCUUGAAGGCUGACACUGUACAGCCUGUUUGCUUUGAACCCAGCCCUGCAAUCAAGCACACUGAUUCAGAGAAUGUAUAUAUCUGCAGGAGGUGGGCUAGGGGGGAGGGGGCGGAGUUUGGGCCACGAGGAUCUCAUAUUUAGAUGCUGCCCCGGCCUUGCUUCCAAGUCCUCUCCAGUACAUUUUCUUCUUCCUCAGUUGUGCCCUCUCUCACAGACCUGACUGCUGCUUGGCUCUGGUACACAACUCCAGCGACCCCGCUGAUGGACUUGUUUUGCAUGUCUGUGCUCCUCAUUUCCCCCUCUUCUGUGAUCUCUUAGCUCCCUAACUGGUUAGUAAAAAUUUCCUGGAUUCAAAGAUGGCUUAUUUGGAGUCAGGCAAGUAUUUAAUAAGAAUAAGAAUCUCUUCAUUGUGGCUUUUUUUUUUUUUAAAAAACAACUUCAAGGGUCUCAAAAGCUGGUGCAUACUAAAGCUCUUUCAGGAAGUGAAGGGUAUCUGCAGAGGUCAUAAAUGUUUUAUAGGGAGCCUAGAGAGGCAUGUAUUUAAAUACAUACUUCUUAAACAAUAUUCAUUUUUAUAGGAUCUGAUCCAGCACCUUCUGUUGUCAUUCCGUUUUAUUUAUUUGUAUCAAUCACUAUUAAUUUAACCACAUACUUAUGAGGCUUGGUGUGACCAUUUGGUAUAUGUAGAUAAUGUGUAAUGACUAAGUCUAGUUAGUUACACACAUUUCCUUAAAUAGUAAAGUUCACUGACAGUUUAGCACUGUGUAAUAGCACCGUGUUUAUCUGGUGCACUGAGAUAGUUAAACAGUCAUGCAUUAUAUGUAAUAAACGUCUCCUUUUAUUUUAA